UACGGGGGGGGCAAGCGUUGUUCGGAAUUACUGGGCGUAAAGCGUGCGCAGGCGGUUGUGUAAGGCAGGUGUGAAAUCCCCGGGCUUAACCUGGGAAUUGCAUUUGUGACUGCACGGCUAGAGUUUGGCAGAGGGGGGUAGAAUUCCACGUGUAGCAGUGAAAUGCGUAGAUAUGUGGAGGAAUACCGAUGGCGAAGGCAGCCCCCUGGGUCAAGACUGACGCUCAUGCACGAAAGCGUAGGGAGCAAACAGG
rnacentral:rRNA from 1 species